rnacentral:antisense_RNA from 1 species
UGUUAUGGCGGCCGUGCGCGGGAGAUCCUCGGAUCUGCUGGGUGUCCUAACAGGCCCGGUCUUGCACUCCGCGUGCGGCUGCUACCCUG